CGAGAGAGAGGUGGGGCAGACAGCCGGCAGCAGGAAUCGCAGAGCCAUCUCUGGCCAGGCAAACGAACACAAAUUCUCCCUCCUGGGCCUGCUAUGACAAACCAAAGGAAAAAGCUAACUCCAUUUGCCAGCAGGGCAAAAUACUGCCACUGGAAUUAGAAGCAGUAGCUACGGCUGCGUCAGUCUCCAAGAGCUGUCCAUGUGCAAGAUGAGAUAAAGGGGGAAACAGUACCCCAGAGUUGCACUGAGACAGCAAGCUGCCAUCCAGACCACAGUGCUUUAUCUGAAUAGAGCACACUGGAGAGGGUCAUCUUGCAUCAGACUCACAGAAAUGCCCAGAGAUGCAUGUGUAGAAUCAAUGAAGAAAUGGAGACACCCCUAGCACAAAUACCAACGUCCACAAGCAAAUGUCUAUACCCUCCUUUCAAGCAUAUCUCCAUCCUUCUCCUUCCCAUGUGGGCCUUCAGUGAACUGCUCACAUCAGCUCAGCACAUUUCUUCACUACUUGUGUUUGUAGUUGCUGUUCAUCCAUGGCAAAUAAGCUCCAGAGACACAAUCCUAAUGGAUGGGCAGACCAACAAGAGAACAUGUGACAUCUACAUGAAGAACUUCUUGCACCAUGGGAUGGUAAAGAACAGGCUAUGUUUUGAAAGCAGACCUCUGACACAGGGUCUUGCGUUUCGUCUUGCUGUCACACUGUGUUACCACACCACAUCACACUGUGUGACAUAACCGACAAACCCUGUUGUAACCUGUAUGUGUCAUGGGAAGGCAGCCUGCUGCCUGAUUCUUGUAAGAGUGCUUCAGGAAAAAGGCAAUCCUACUAAUUCCCCACAGCCAGAACUGUAGCAGGAGCAAAGCUGAACAGAGCUGCUUGCUCUCUUCCUACCUAUCUAUAAUCAGCUUCAGGCAGUCAGCACUUGUCACCCUGAACAUUUCAGAAAUUCUAGAGUACAUGGUGAUAUAAAGCCACUGAAAUGGAGUAAUGUCCCAUGAAGAAAGAGGCUGUCUGUUGAAACCUACUUUUUCACAUUCAAGUAGGAGGUGGUGUGAUAGGGCACACCACAGCAGGGUCCUGACAGCAUACGUCAGUGAGGACAAAUGAACUUUUCAGUGCUGGUCCAAGGUAUUUCAGUUUUGUAUCUAGCCCUCUCUGUGCCCUGCUGUCUUCAUGGUGGUGAUACCAGUUUGGAAGUGAUACCAAGGAACUACUCAGAAUAUGAGAACUUCAACUUUUUCUUUUGUUGCGUUCCCCAGGAAUUACCGCUCGCAACAAUUUGUGGAUGUCCCCCUCAGAUUAUUUUAACUAAGAGCUCUCCUGAUUUAUUUCGUCCCCAGGGGAUUUCUAACUUAUGUGAACUAUGACUGGUGAUAAUGAAAUAUAUUGUCGUGCCACAAAUUCAAUACAUUAAAA
rnacentral:lncRNA from 1 species